GGUAAGGUGGCUGAGUAAAGCGGUGGAUUGUAGUCCCACGUACAGAGGUUUGAGUCCUUUUCUUAUCA
rnacentral:tRNA from 1 species